rnacentral:lncRNA from 1 species
AAAAAAAAAAAAAAAAAAAAAAAAGAAGUUACUGAAAUCUUUCUACCAAAAAGAAAAAGGGGUUACUGAAAUCUGAAAUCUAUAUUAUAUGAAUUAACCUUUGACAACUCCAACAUUUGUAUGCAAAGGCUUACUGUGGUGUAAUUAAAAUAUUAACAUUCGUAACCAAAACGAAAUUUGCCUACUUAAUCAUAUGAUUAACUACUUUAUUUCAUAGGUUUCAAAAAGAAAAACUUAGUACCAAAUGUUAGACCUAAUACUUAACUACCCAGUUUGUAAAUCCAGCGUGGGUUGGACCAAUAGCAACUUACAUCGAGGAUAGUGGGAGUUUUGUUGCCAACAUCCUAUUUGUUCACUUGUCACUUUUGGCAUCAUUUUAGAUAAUUAUUAUUCAGUACCUGAAAUUUUUUCAAAUUAACAAUUUAGUCCUUAUAUUUUAUAGAUACAGAUAACAGUUGAGCCUGUAACAAACUAGUUGGAGUUUGUUAUAUAAAUAAUCUGUUUUCAAUGUUUGCUCUCAUGGAUAACAAUACUUAUAUCUUAAUCUAAAAUUAUUGAAUGAUUAAUAUUUUUAUGAAUGUCACUCUUAAGAGCUGCACAAAAGAUGAUAAAUCUUUAAAAUAAUCUUUUUCGAGAUUGAGAGGAAGAAAAAAAAAAAAAAAAUCAAAACACUGCAAAUCAGUGAUAUGAUGAUGGGUUCCAAAAACAAAAAGAUAAAGAAUAUACAUUUCUAAAAGAAAAAGGAGAAAGAAAAUCUAGUUACGAGAUUAGCCACUGUUCUUGUCUUCAAUUGAUAUGCAUAGGCUGCUUAGUUGUCUUCCUUUCACUUUUCUUAAUCUUUUAAUAAUCAGACAGCCAAAAUAGUUUUGAGAAGGAGAGGAAGGAAAAUAACAAUAAAAAUAUAAUAAAGAUUAUAUUUUCUUUUUUAUAGUUAUUUUUUAUCUUUGUAUUUGAAUAUAAUGAAAAAGAUAAAAUAAAUUUAUUUUUGUUAGUUUGGAAAGGAAAGGAAAUGUUAUCAUAACAUUGAUAAUUAUGGUUUCAUUUAAAUAAUUGAGUAUUUUUGAUAAUUUAAUAAAAAAUAAGUGAUCAGGCCUCCUGUAUAUCAAAAAUAAAAAAAAGUUAUAUUUUAUGAAUUAUUUCUUAUCGAAUUAGAGAGAUUCAAAACAUGUAACAGUUGUUAAAAAAAGUGAGAUGUUGCAUCUUUUCCUGUAUAUUUUACAUAAUUAUUCUUGAAAUAAAUUUGAACAUUGAACUUGUUUAAUGGGUCAAAAUGGUCAUACUUGACCUUCAAAAUGAUAAAUUUGGUUUUCUUAAUUAUUUUAAAUAAAUUUAAGAGUUAAAUUAGUGUCAAAGUACAAAUACAACCUUUUUAAUUUUGCUAAGCAAAUUCGGGUUAAAUUGAACUUUAUUCCAUUUUUGUCCCUCCAAAAAUAUAUGCACCCAAUCAUAGUGUUCCAUCAAAUGAAGAUACCUACUAGUCCCAAAUUUGGCAAUAACAAUUUUCUUUUAAUUUCCUAUCCGCACUAUCUAAAACAAGAAGGUGGAAUUGUUCAAUCUUUUCACGACAGAGAUCUGUGAAGUUCCAUACGGAUCCAUAGAUAUUUUUGAAGCCUAGUCAUACCUGUACGCAGAUAUUUUAUGCCUCGAUGCCAACGUCUUUAAUUUCUGUUUCCUCGAAAUUAAUUUCUCAGUUUCAAAAUUUUCGAUAAGCAUGAAAUCCUCUCUCAACCCUUUUUCGUCCCUUGAAAAUUCAAAGCUUAUCUUUGGCCAUGCAAGAAGAAGCCAACGACGGCGGCAAACGGUGGAGUGGCUCAAAUCAAAACUCGGUUUAUGUGCCAAUUGCGUUAAUUGCUAAUUGUAUAUAGAUAUAAACAGCAAUAGCUAUUCAGUAUUAUAAAUUAGUUAAGCACUAGCCAAAUUAAGACAAGAAAGAAAUUGUGAGAGAGAAAAUGAGAUUCGCUUCAAACAUGGGAGAAACCAAACCAGACACUGUGGUAUGUUUUGGAAACAUAUGUGACCGGUGGUCCACUGAGAUCAGAGAUUCCAGACAACCUGAGUUAGGUGAUGAUCGAGGACACGUCGUCCAAUUAGUUUGUUGUGGGUUUAGUUUAUACCGUCCAUAGAUUUAUAAUUAUUGACUGUAAUUUAGGAACAAAGAAGGAAAAAGACAAUGGCGGUUAGAACAAAUAUUGUCAUGCAUUUUUCCAAAUACCAAAUGGAAUAGAGUGAAGUAGAUUAGAUUAGAUUGUUUGAGUAACCAAAUUCAAUAUUGCGAAACCCUAAUUUCAUGCUUCGCUAAGGUGUGAACUCAUAAUCAUCAUCAUUAGAAUUUCCUUAAUUUGAUUUUGGGGUUUACUCUCUACUUUGUAUAAAUGUUUUUUUUUUUUUUUUUAAAUAUUGAAAAUUGUUUCAUUUGUAAAAACAACUGAAGCCGUAAUAUAUUAAUUAAUAAAUAAACAGCUGAGGAUAAAGUUGAGGAUAAAUAGGCCCAAUCCUACAUAAUGGUUUGGGGGUUGUGGUUCAGCCCAUGGCCCCAUGUGUCAACAACCCAUCGCUAAAUUUCAAAUAAUAAUUAUAUAAAAUAAUUGCAUAAAAUGAACAUAAUAUUUAUUAUCGGAAAUUAUUUAUCUGGAUCGGAUCUAUAGUCAGCUUAUUGAUAAACAAAUGACAGUAAAUUUUUUAUAAAAAAUAUUUCAAUCUUUUUUUUAAUAUAUGAUAAAAAAUAUUAUCAUUUCAAUAAUAAAUUUUAAUUUCAUCAGUUUGAUCCAUGAUCGGGUGCAUGAAAUAUAAAAUUUUCUGUAUCCGCAUGAGUAAAAAAAAACAGCAUGUACACAUGUCUCAGUCUCUCUCGUUAAUUACUGGUUUUUUUAAUGGCGGUUUAAUUACUAGAUACAGUGGUUGAUAACGUUAUUCAUAUGUUUAUCACAUGGACUGCAGAAUGUUGACGUCAUAUAACAUUGCUCAUUAGUCAUUGCCAAAUGAGCAGGCAAAGAAGUCGGGGAGCACGAAGGAAAGGAAAUAGGGAAGAAAAAUAAGGAAAAUAAAAUAAUUAAUUUUCUUCUUCAUUUUUAAAUAUAAGAAAAAAAUAAAAUUAUUUUUCCUCUUUUAAUAAAUUCUUAUACCUUUUUUUUAAUUAAAUUUCCUCAUUUUUCUUUCUUCUCAAUCAAAAGGAAAUGAUAUUCUUUUACAUUUUUUUUUUUUAAAAUUAUUUUCUUUCCCACAUAUUUGAUCUUCACCCAAACAUGGACUCUAAAGAAAAAGCAUGCUACAACUUUUUUUUUUUAAAGGAAAUAACUUAAUAUUAUUAAGGGCCUAAGACCUUACAGAUUUGAUAGGUAGCUUUUAUAUAAUACGAGAAGUUAGAUAGCACACAAAACAACUUCAUCUUCUCAUAUCCUACACAUCAAGUCGAUAAUGUCGUACAAAAUAGUAGACUAUAGCCCACUACAGACAAACACUGAGACUUCCUCAAGAUAGACUAUGGAAGCCUUCAUUAUUCUCCGUCUACAUACACCAGUAGCUUCGAUGCUGCAAGAUCAUCUAUAUCAUCUUCACUUAACGCUGCAACAAAACAAAAACCAUCAGUUAUAAUCAAGAUUGAUGAACAUGAAAGCCUAACUAAUAAUAUUAAAAAAAAGUUAAUAAUAGUGUUGAAUCGGAUAAUACUUCUUGCAGUUGGUGGAGGGGUCGAUCUUGUAAGGAAUAUUGACAUUGCAUUUAGCAGGAAGACUCUGAGCGAGGCCAAGGUUAUAGCUGGAGUAGCGGAAAUUACUAACAGCAGAUUCCAAGCACUGGCAAACGGCUUGGCGAUCAGGUGUGGUCUGAGCAGCAUUAUAAAGUGUUCUAAUGCCGUUGCAGCAAUUGCCAGGAACUUGCCCACCACUCUGCAAAUAGCCCACGCAUGGAGUCAGCUCUCUUACUACAUCUCCACAUGUUAUUGCUGCUCUUGCUGCCAUUGGAGCAAACAUCAUCAUCACCGCCAGGCUUACAAUCAUAACUAGCUUAACACUUGCCAUGAUUCUUGACUACUCUUAGUGAUCUAUAGCUAGCAGAAAACAAGUGUGGGUGGUGGAGUGCUUAGAUUUGGUGUCUAUUUAUGGAAAAUCUUGGAACAGAUGGGGAGUUAGGAAUUACUACUUGGUGGUUGAGCUUAUUAAGAGGUAUGGCGGAACUUAGUUGUGAACUAUAAAUGCUGUAGUUAAUUUGGUUAUGGAAAUAGUAGAUCCAAUAUGAAGUAAAUUCUGAAUGAACGUACACUCAUUUGCAAAUUCAGGAGUUAAAAACUUAAUGAAGGGAAAAGUUGUAUCUAGCUAGGUAGCUUAUUAAUGAUAAAAUAAGGUUUUCCUUAUACUACAUUCAAUAGGGUUGGUCCAAUGGAUGAGUACGAGUAUUUUCGUCCUCAAUUAUAAAUCUAGUUUCAAUUUUAUUCAAUAGUUUAAGGAUUGUUAUUAAAAAUAAUAUUGAUGUUGAUGUGGGACAACAUAUAUAUGCCCUUAAAAUUAUACAGAUCAAGGAUUUAAUCUCAUUGCAUUAAUUGGAACAUAUCUCUGUCCAUAACUAAACAUUCUAUAUAUGAAGCUCAUCAAAUUUCAAGGGCGGAAGGAAGGUGACCAGAGAGCCUGGGCCCCUAAUUAAACUCCAAAUUUUUUCUUUUACUUUUUCUUUAUAAAUAUUUGUCAAAAAUUUUUCUUCUCACUUUGUCCCCUUUAUUUUUGAGAAUUUAUUUUGAUUCUCCAAAUUCUGAAGUCUAGAUCUCCCGUGCUAGACUUGGAAACUAACAUAUAUACGAAUAAAUUACACUAGCCAGAGUAUGAAUAACUUUAUUCGCUUGUCUCCUCGCCCAAUUAAGGGUGAACUAGUUACAUUAAACAACAAAAGCAUUACAAUCUUCCAAAAGAAGAUAUCAUUCAGUUUGUAGGUGAGAAGGAUGACAUAUUCCUUUCAGAACCUCCUGACUCUGAGCAUCUGUCUUUAUAAUAACAUUUGACAGAUUUCUUACUUUAAUCCAACUUAGCACUUCCUGAAGUCCCAAAAUUAGUUAAUGCCAACAAAAUUUUACUCAAUAACAAUUUUAAACUCAUCAAAGCUGCAAGAUUACGAAUUCCUAUUAAAGUAAUCUGGAUAUUGUCGUUUACCUGGGAUAGUAAAUUGGCGCAAAAGCAGAAACUUAGGACGAUCUAUGAGAUAAUGUUAAAACAUAACGUUCCAUAUACAACGAUAGCAUCACGUCAGCAUUAAACUAUAGGCACCAUAGUUGUUGUCUUUCAAUUCCAUUAUCCCAAGUGGAAGACUGGCCAUGAGACAAUCACAGUUGAUGGAGAGAGCAGCAACAAUACAAGACCUCCUACGGUGGUUUAAUGCUUUAGCCUUUGAGGUAUAGAGAUGUUAUACCUUAAUUUGCAGCCCGUGCACCUCCUUUGGCUGCUCUCACCGCCAUGAAAUAGACAACUGCUGGUGUGGUGCUGGUAGGUAUUUCUUUACAUUAUUAGCAGUGAGAAGUAGAAAGUGUCACUGUCUUGAUUUAACUCCAUCAUUAACAUGCCUCUUUUGUUUGAUAUAAAAUUUCCUCGUGUAAACGACAAAUAUGUCCAAAAUGCAGCAAAAGAUCUGCAUGGGUUGGGCCACUUGAGAGAAAGCCUUGGGCCUGUGAACAAGUCCACAUGAUAUAGUGAAUGUCGGUUCUAUGUUUAAUUAUGGGCCAUGAUUGAAUGGUUUUAAGCGAAAAAUGAACCAAAUUAAUUUGAUUUUCCUUUGUUUGGGAAGGGAGGGAAAGGAAAAUAUUAGAGGAAAAAAAUUAAUAUAGAAAAAUAAUGAAUAAUUGUCGACUUUCUUUUAUGGUUAUUUUCCACUUCUGUGUUUGGAUAUAAUAAAUGAAAUGAAAUAAAUUUGUGAUUCUUCGCUAGGAAAGGGUAAAUUUUAGAAAAAAAAUAUUAUUAUUGAAAAUUGACAAUUAUGGCUUCAUUUAAAUAAGAAGUAUUUAAAAAAUAGUUAAAAUUUAUUAAUUAAUUGAAACAUUUGGAUAAUUUAAUAAAAAUGAGUGAAAUUCUCAAUUUUCUUCGUUAUUUUCUCUCCAAAUUGAAGAGAUUCAAAACAUGUAGACCUCUAUAGAAAAUAAAUAAAAUAUUAUUUUCUUCACUAUUUUCCUUUCCUUUUCCAAGUAAGGAAAAAAAAAAUAUUUUUCUAAGUAUUUUAUUUUCCUUCCUUCAAAAAAAUAAUAUAAUACAAACAUAGAGUUAGUUUUUCUGUUUAGUUAUUCAAAAUAAUUAGUUUGAUUCGAUGUCAUAUAUGAUUUUAAAGAAUUUUAGUUUUUAAUUUUGGUUUGAUCCAAUUUUUUUUACAAUUAAUUGAAUCGAUAUAUAUUGUUGUGUUGGUCUGUCGUGAAAUUGUGUGGUGAUAGAGCUUAUUGCAAGAUUUCAGAAUUUCAAAUGAAGGGCACGUUUUAUUAUCUGUGAUAAUAUUUUUGCUGUGCACACUUCUAGAAAAUUUCUCUUUCAUGAAAUAACUAAGAUAUAAUAAUUGAUUGUCAUCUCCUAAGAGGAAAGAUCCUUAAUUGAACUAUGAUGACAAAAUAUGUUAGAGCAGAAUAAUAAAUUGCACAUCUAUUCAAAAACUCUACAUCCAGCACAACUCAAAAUCUUUUUUUACCAAGUUCAGCACAAAAGACUCGUAUGCUCCACUCGAGGGGAGUGUGAAAAGUAAAUAUACUUUUAUUUUUUCUGUAAAUGUAAAAAGUCAUUACAAUAAAAAGCUGUAAUUACUUAUAUUUUAUUUGACAAUUGUUUUUUAAAUUAACUUUUCACGUUUUAAUUUAUGCUAUUUUUUUAUUAUAUUCAAUAAUAUAAUAUUUUAAUUAAAUUUUAAUAGCUUUUUUUAAAAAAUUAAUUCAAAUAGCAUUUAACUUUUAACUAAUAGCUAUCAAAACAGCUAAUCUCACGGAGCCUUUAACCAACAUUAAGCCUUUAAUGAACAUUAAUAAAGAAGAAAACCCAAGAAACUGUGAAAGAAAAUAGAAAUCUUAUCAGAAACGUAGAUAGAUAUCAUUAAUAACACAGACAGUACAAUAGACCCAAAGACGCAAACACCAAAUAGUAAAAAUUACAACAAAAACAUACAGAGAAAACAGUAGUAAUUAAAGAGAAACGGAGACUCGCUAAAGUGGAGACACCAUUAUCCUCUCUCUCCCUCUUAUUCUUCUUACGCUACCUGAUCUCCAGGCCUGAAAAUCGAACUCUGCUCCAUGUAUAACUCACCUGACACUGCAACACAAAUAUAUAUUGACAAUUAAUUGUUUAAAUUAAUCAAGGAAGAAAAAGAAGAAAUGAAAGCAGAAAGAACUACUUACUUGUUGCAGUUAGUGGAGAGGCUGAUCUUGUAAGGAAUGUUGACGCUGCAAGCACCAGGAAGAGCCUCAGCGUUCGUAGGGAUGAUACCAGAGACGCUUGCUGCUGCUUGUUUCAAGCACUGACAUGCUUGUUGGCGGUCAGGGGUCGAUUUUGCAGCAGAGUUGAUGCUUCUCACUCCAUUGCAGCAAUUCGGCGGUGGAGCUUUGGCACCUGCUGUUCUCAG